UACGUAGGGUGCGAGCGUUAAUCGGAAUUACUGGGCGUAAAGCGUGCGCAGGCGGUGAUGUAAGACAGAUGUGAAAUCCCCGGGCUCAACCUGGGAACUGCAUUUGUGACUGCAUCGCUGGAGUACGGCAGAGGGGGAUGGAAUUCCGCGUGUAGCAGUGAAAUGCGUAGAUAUGCGGAGGAACACCGAUGGCGAAGGCAGUUCGCUGGGACGGUACUGACGCUGAGGCGCGAAAGCGUGGGGAGCAAACAGG
rnacentral:rRNA from 1 species